CGUGGCUGGCGGGCUUGACAUCAGACCUCCACCUGGACCCUGCCAGCGCCAUUCGCUGAGCGAUCCCCUCAUCCAAACCCCCUCGGAAGCAGUCCACCAGAGUCCACCAGUCGAGGGAAAUCCGCUCUGAGCAGGCGAGGAACUCAUGGAUGUACUCAUCCAGGGGACGGCCGUCUUGAUAUAAUGAACACAACUGCUCCAGGGAAUCCAUUAGAAGUGAAUGUUGGGGUCCGAUCUUCUGUCACGGUACACAAGGCAGAGACAUGAGGUAAGAGUGCAAACAGGAUAGUUUAUUAACAGAUGCAGUGGGCAGAUGGUGAAAGGCAGAUGGCAGGUAAGUCGUGAGAAUAAGAGUGAGUUGUAGGGUUCUUAGCGCUGGGUAAUAGGAGUCUGCUCUGUUGCAGGAGUCCGGGGAAUGAACAGGGUCGACGAGGGAUAGGAUCGCUGGAACGUAGGAGACACUGGAGGACUGUGGCUGCAUCACAGACAUCUUGCACAAGAAAGGCACACGAGUGUCGUUCAGUUUUGAGUUCGCUGGAAAAUUAUACUGAAACUGAAUACACCACUCUUGCCUUCACCUACAUCUCACACAGGAAGGGAACGCUCGUUCAGUUUUCAACUCCAUUCAGAAUCUUAGAAUGUAAGAAUAACAGUGCAAAAGAACCUG